AUUGAACGCUGGCGGAAUGCUUUACACAUGCAAGUCGAACGGUAGAGGGGGCAACCCCUCGAGAGUGGCGAACGGGUGAGUAAUAUAUCGGAACGUGCCCGGUCGUGGGGGAUAACGUAGCGAAAGUUACGCUGAUACCGCAUACGAUCCAAGGAUGAAAGCGGGGGAUCGCAAGACCUCGCGCGAUUGCAGCGGCCGAUAUCAGAUUAGGUAGUUGGUGGGGUAAAGGCUCACCAAGCCAACGAUCUGUAGCUGGUCUGAGAGGACGACCAGCCACACUGGAACUGAGACACGGUCCAGACUCCUACGGGAGGCAGCAGUGGGGAAUUUUGGACAAUGGACGCAAGUCUGAUCCAGCCAUUCCGCGUGCAGGAUGAAGGCCCUCGGGUUGUAAACUGCUUUUGUACGGAACGAAAAGGUCUCUCUUAAUACGGGGGACUCAUGACGGUACCGUAAGAAUAAGCACCGGCUAACUACGUGCCAGCAGCCGCCGUAA
rnacentral:rRNA from 1 species